rnacentral:rRNA from 1 species
CAUGGAGGGUGAGAAUCCCGUUCGGUUGAUCAGAUUCGCUUUACGAUACGUUAUCAAAGAGUCAAGUUGUUUGGGAUUGCAGCUUAAAAUGGGAGGUAAAUUUCUCCUAAGGCUAAAUAACGGCGAGAGACCGAUAGCGAACAAGUACCGUGAGGGAAAGAUGAAAAGAACUUUGAAAAGAGAGUUAAACAGUACGUGAAAUUGUUGAAAGGGAAACGAUUGAAGCCAGUCGUACCUUCGGGUAAUCAGCCUUUUGGGUGUGAUUUUGUGGAGCGUGAAGAGUUAAACGCCUUCAUGCCUGCAUAUUCGUGCACUUUGGGUGUACUUGCCCGUAUGGUUGGUUAACAUCAAUUUUGGUGGUCAUAAAAUGACUGGAGGAAUGUAGCUUCGAUCUUGUAUUGAAGUGUUAUAGCCUUCGGUAGAUGUGAUGAUCGAGAUUGAGGAUUGCAACGGAUACCCUUCGGGGCUACCUGUCUGAUCUCUGAUCGUUGCUCUGGUGCCGAAAGCUUGCUUACGGUUAUCAAAGUCGAUGGUCAAUAGGUUAGAACGGGUUAAAUUCGUUAAGGAUGUUGACGUAAUGG